CCUACGGGGGCAGCAGUGAGGAAUAUUGGUCAAUGGGCGCGAGCCUGAACGAGGCAAGUCGCGUGAGGGAAGAAGGUCCUAUGGAUUGUAAACCUCUUUUGUCGGGGAGCAAAAGACGCCACGCGUGGCGUUCCGAGAGUACCCAAAGAAAAAGCAUCGGCUAACUCCGUGCCAGCAGCCGCGGUAAUACGGGGAAUGCGAGGGUUAUCAGGAUUUAUUGGGUUUAAAGGGUGC
rnacentral:rRNA from 1 species